rnacentral:tRNA from 1 species
GGGUACUUAGCUCAGUUGGUUUAGAGCGCUUGGUUUACACCCAAGAGGUCAGGGGUUCGAAUCCCUUAGUACCCA